rnacentral:rRNA from 1 species
UACGGAGGGUCCAAGCGUUGUCCGGAAUCACUGGGUGUAAAGGGUGCGUAGGCGGGUCCGUAAGUCAGGGGUGAAAUCCCACAGCUCAACUGUGGAACUGCCCUUGAUACUGCGGAUCUCGAGUCCUGGAGAGGCUGCCGGAAUUCGUGGUGUAGCGGUGAAAUGCGUAGAUAUCACGAGGAACACCGGAUGCGUAGGCGGGCAGCUGGACAGGUACUGACGCUGAGGCACGAAAGCGUGGGGAGCGAACAGG